CCUACGGGUGGCUGCAGUGAGGAAUAUUGGUCAAUGGGCGAGAGCCUGAACCAGCCAAGUCGCGUGAGGGAGUACGGCCCUAUGGGUUGUAAACCUCUUUUGUCGGGGAGCAAAAGCCUGACGUGUCCGGCUGUGAGAGUGCCCGUAGAAAAAGCAUCGGCUAACUCCGUCCCAGCAGCCGCGGUAAUACGGAGGAUGCGAGCGUUAUCCGGAUUUGUUGGGUUUAAAGGGUGCGCAGGCGGAUUUUUAAGUCAGAGGUAAAAUCGUGGGGCUCAACCCCGUCCAGCCGUUGAAACUGGGGAUCUAGAGUGUGCGAGAGGUAUGCGGAAUGCGUGGUGUAGCGGUGAAAUGCAUAGAUAUCACGCAGAACCCCGAUUGCGAAGGCAGCAUACCGGUGCACAACUGACGCUCAGGCACGAAAGCGUGGGUAUCGAACAGGAUUAGAUACCCGAGUAGUC
rnacentral:rRNA from 1 species